rnacentral:rRNA from 1 species
AACGAACGCUGGCGGCAUGCCUAACACAUGCAAGUCGAACGAGACCUUCGGGUCUAGUGGCGCACGGGUGCGUAACGCGUGGGAACCUGCCCUUAGGUUCGGAAUAACUCCCCGAAAGGGGUGCUAAUACCGGAUAAUGUCUUCGGACCAAAGAUUUAUCGCCUUUGGAUGGGCCCGCGUUGGAUUAGCUAGUUGGUAGGGUAAAAGCCUACCAAGGCGACGAUCCUUAGCUGGUCUGAGAGGAUGAUCAACCACACUGGGACUGAGACACGGCCCAGACUCCUACGGGAGGCAGCAGUGGGGAAUAUUGGACAAUGGGCGAAAGCCUGAUCCAGCAAUGCCGCGUGAGUGAUGAAGGCCUUAGGGUUGUAAAGCUCUUUUACCCGGGAUGAUAAUGACAGUACCGGGAGAAUAAGCUCCGGCUAACUCCGUG